rnacentral:rRNA from 1 species
UACAGAGGGUGCGAGCGUUGUUCGGAAUUAUUGGGCGUAAAGGGCGCGUAGGCGGUGCGGUAAGUCACCUGUGAAAUCUCCUGGCUCAACUGGGAGCUUGCAGGCGAAACUGCCGUGCUGGAGUGUGGGAGAGGUGAGUGGAAUUCCCGGUGUAGCGGUGAAAUGCGUAGAUAUUGGGAGGAACACCAGUGGCGAAGGCGGCUCGCUGGACCGGUUCUGACGCUGAGGCGCGAAAGCGUGGGGAGCAAACAGG